rnacentral:lncRNA from 1 species
GCGGGGAGAGGGAGCAAGCGGGAAGCAAGAGUGAGAGAGACAAGAGAGUAAGAGAGCAAGUGGGUAAGAGAGUAAGAGAGAGAUGAGGGGGCAAGUAGCUCCUUUUAUAGUGGGCCAGGCCUACCUGGCUAUUGCCAGAUAACUGUGAGGAGGAGCAUACCUGGCUGUUGCCAGGUAACUGUGGGGGUGAAGUCCCGACCGAAUACCAGGAGCCCUACAUGACUGAUGGCCACAGAAUUAUGGAGCUGGAGCCUCGUGUCAGGAGCCUAGUGUCUGGGAGCAUGGCAAACGGGGGCCUUCCAUCUCUUGCAGGAACACCUGCUGGCUCUCCAGGGUUUAAUCCUAGCUCCACCAGAAAACAGGCUGCCUUUCAUGCUCCCGCACAUCUCCUGUUAUUCGUUUCUUACAACAUCCACAGGCAGAUGAUGUGUCCUGAUUCAAGAGAGGGGAGCUGGAUCUACAGCCAGAUAUUACGUGCUUGACUAACUCCACAGACCUUGGACAGACACCACUCUGCUAGGUGUGUCUUAGGGUUUCUGUUGCUAUGAUCCAGCACCAGACCCAAACACAGUUUGGGGGAGGAAGGGUUUAUUUCACUUAUAUUUAAUACAUACAUCACAGUCCAUCAUUGGAGGAAGUUAGGCCAAGAACUCACCCAGGGUAGGAACCUGGAAGCAGGAGCUGAUGCAGAGGCCAUGGAGGAGUGCUGCUAACCGGCCUGCUCCCCACAACUUGCUCAACCUGCUUUCAUAUAGAAGCUUAGGACCACCAGCCCAGAGGGGGCACCACUCACUAUGGGCUGGGCCCUCCUCAUCAAUGACUAAUUAAGAACAUGUCCUACAGGAUUGACUACAGUCUAGAUCUUACAGAAAUUCCUUAACUGAGGUUCCCUCCUCUGGGACAGCUCUUGCCAUGUCAAACUGACAGGCUUGCCAGGACGAGGUCAAAAAUCAUUUCCAUGGUCAGGCUAGUCUGUCUGGUCCAACCUGAGAACUCUAUUUUAAAAUGGAGCAGAUAAUUCUGUCAUUAGAGGAUAACAGGUGAACAAGGCCAGGGGAAUCCUGGAAAUAAAAGAGGUCCAGGCACUUGUUAGUUACCCUGUUCUCCUGUGUUCUCGCAGAGUGUUAUGAUUUUUCUUUCUUUUCUUUUCUUUUUUUGAUUUUUCCACUCUGAUUUUGAAAAAUUAAAUACCAAUCAAAUGUGACCGAAAUAGCUGCAUAUCUGGAGCGCAGGGAAAAAAAAAAAUCACUGUGUGUAAGUCUUAGUUUCUGCUUUAAAACAACCCUCCCGGGGACAGUGAGACGGCUUUGGUGGAUCAAAGCGCUUGGUACCAAGCCCAAUGGCCUGAGUGUGUUCCUCAGGACCCACAUGGUAGAACGAGAGAACUAACUCCCACAUGUUCAGACUUACACAUAGAAGCCUGUACCCACACAUGCAUAAUAAGUAGAU